rnacentral:rRNA from 1 species
UACGUAGGGGGCUAGCGUUGUCCGGAAUCAUUGGGCGUAAAGCGCGUGUAGGCGGCCCGAUAAGUCCGCUGUGAAAGUCCAGGGCUCAACCCUGGGAUGCCGGUGGAUACUGUCGGGCUAGAGUGCGGAAGAGGCGAGUGGAAUUCCUGGUGUAGCGGUGAAAUGCGCAGAUAUCAGGAGGAACACCUAUUGCGAAGGCAGCUCGCUGGGACGUAACUGACGCUGAGACGCGAAAGCGUGGGGAGCAAACAGG